rnacentral:rRNA from 1 species
UACAGAGGUCUCAAGCGUUGUUCGGAUUCAUUGGGCGUAAAGGGCGCGUAGGCGGCCUGCUAAGUCGGAUGUGAAAUCCCUCGGCUCAACCGAGGAACUGCAUCCGAUACUGGCGGGCUUGAAUCCGGGAGAGGGAUGUGGAAUUCCAGGUGUAGCGGUGAAAUGCGUAGAUAUCUGGAGGAACACCGGUGGCGAAGGCGGCAUCCUGGACCGGUAUUGACGCUGAGGCGCGAAAGCUAGGGGAGCAAACGGGG